UAAUACGAAGGGGGCGAGCGUUGUUCGGAUUUACUGGGCGUAAAGGGCGCGCAGGCGGCAGACCAAGUCAGGCGUGAAAGCCCCGGGCUCAACCUGGGAACUGCGUCUGGGACUGGUUUGCUAGAGAUCGGGAGAGGAGAGUGGAAUUCCCAGUGUAGAGGUGAAAUUCGUAGAUAUUGGGAAGAACACCGGUGGCGAAGGCGGCUCUCUGGACCGAUACUGACGCUGAGGCGCGAAAGCGUGGGGAGCAAACAGGAUUAGAUACCCUGGUAGUCCACGCCGUAAACGAUGGGUACUAGGUGCCUGGGGGAGCGACCCUCUGGGUGCCGGCGCUAACGCAGGAAGUACCCCGCCUGGGGAGUACGACCGCAAGGUUG
rnacentral:rRNA from 1 species